rnacentral:rRNA from 1 species
CCUACGGGUGGCUGCAGUGGGGAAUAUUGCACAAUGGAGGAAACCCUGAUGCAGCAACGCCGCGUGAGUGAAGAAGUAUUUCGGAAUGUAAAGCUCUAUCAGCAGGGAAGAAGAUGACGGUACGUGAGUAAGAAUCCCCGGCUAACUACGUUCCAGCAGGCGCGACAAUACGUAGGGUGCAAGCGUUAUCCGGAUUUACUGGGUGUAAAGGGAGCGUAGACGGUGAGACAAGUCUGAAGUGAAAGCCCGGGGCUCAACCCCGGGACUGCUUUGGAAACUGCUUGACUGGAGUGCUGGAGAGGCAAGCGGAAUGUCUGGUGUAGCGGUGAAAUGCGUAGAUAUUAGGAAGAACACCAGUGGCGAAGGCGGCUUGCUGGACAGUAACUGACGUUGAGGCUCGAAAGCGUGGGGAGCAAACAGGAUUAGAUACCCGAGUAGUC